GUGAAUCAUCAAAUUUUUGAACGCAAAUUGAACUCUUCUCGGAGAGUAUGCCUGUUUGAGGGUCAGCCUAUAAAAAUCGACAUCGUUGGGGUUUCGUGGUGGCGGUCGUCGGAAAUUGGGGUAUGUUAAAUCCUUUUGAUUUAAGCGACUUAAAAUUUGCUUUUGGUUGUAUGAACGUUUCUAAGAUUUAUUUCUUUAUAUGUUUAAGGUAUCGAUUUGUAUUAGACGUGACAAUAAUAUAG
rnacentral:misc_RNA from 1 species